GUAUUCACUUCAGAAGAACAUAUACUAAAAUUGGAACUAUACAGAGAAGAUUAGCAUGGCCCCUGUGUAAGGACAUGCAAAUUCGUAAAGCAUUCCAUACUUUU